rnacentral:sRNA from 1 species
CAUCGUCGAUCUGUUGCGGGCAGAUGAAAUGGAUGUGGCUGUCAAACCCGCCGGCGGUCAGGAUGCGCCCCUCACCGGCGAUGAUCUCUGUCCCCGGCCCGAUGAUGAUAUCGACGCCGGGCUGGGUGUCGGGAUUGCCUGCCUUGCCGAUCUUGUUGAUGCGGCCGUCGCGCAGGCCCACGUCGGCCUUGUAGAUGCCGGUCCAAUCCACGAUCAGCGCGUUGGUGAUGACCGUAUCGACGGCCCCGGCAGCGCGGGUGGCCUGUGACUGGCCCAUGCCGUCGCGGAUG